rnacentral:tRNA from 1 species
GCGCUGGUAGUUCAGUGGUAGAAUCUCUGCCUUCCAGAUUAUAAUUGAAGAAAGCAGAUGACUCGGGUUCGAAUCCCGACCGGCGCA